GUAUAGAGCUCUUCAAUGUUUUGGCACAUCAGACCGCAUUCAGUAAACAUUGGAAAUCGAAACGGUUCGGUUGAAAGUAUCUUCAUUUACUCGCAAGCAAUUCAAAAAGAUAUUGUAUCUAUACAUUUUGUUGAGGCUUUUUUGUUUUUGUAAUUUUCGUUCGAAGUUUCUUCAGCAAGUAAAAAAGUUCAUGUCACUGCGGGUCGAUCGUGUCCGACUUUUUUAAAAGUGUUUCCAUAAAUAACCAAAAAUUUGGUUGCGUGUGUAUUUAUUCUCAUUUUUAGAUACCUUUUGUAUCUUUUGGCUUGUUUGUUUGUGUGUUUGAUGUAAACCGACUAGUUCGGCAGUAGGUGUUUGAAAUAUCAAAAAUAUUAGUGGGUGGAAAGAUGAGUGGUUGUUCGGAAAAUUUUGAAACUAAAUUCUUCAAUAUUUUAAUGCAAUAUUGAUGCAUUGAAUAUCUUUUACGUCACUGUCAUCAGUAUCAACACGAAAAAAGUCGUAAUUUCACGUUCUACCUAUCAAUAUAAUAAAAGUGAAUAAGUCUCGUAAAUACCGUGUAUAACGGUUAUUUAUGUAAGAAAUUUUGUUUAUAAUAAAAUAGUUCUACAAUAUUUGUUUUAUCCAGCUGAGAAGAAUGUGAGAAAACUCAGCACGUUGUUUACGAUUAUAUUUUUAAAGUGAAAUAAUAUUUACAUGAACUUCAAUAUUCAUUUGGGUGGAAAAAAAUGUAUCUACAGUAAACAAGUACGAGAGAUAUAGAAAAUAGAACCAACAGCUGACUUGUUAAGAGUGUUUCAGGGUUUUAAGGGCAGACAACAUAACGCAACGAUAACCUUCCGGUGUCAUAGUUGGCCAAUUAAACUUGUGGCGGCAGCUUUAAUUAUAUGCUCAUCUCAAUCAACAUCCACAGAUGAUCUCCCACGUUAAAUCUGAAAAACAAAAACAACAACAAAGACAAGUAGAACCUACAAACAGACCGCAAAUAUGGGUCACAGCUGCUAGCACGCCAUCUAUACACAAUUACAAAAAUAAAAACGUCACUACAGCACACUGACAUCUCUGAUGAUUGUUUCACUAACGCAACGCACUCAUUGGUUGAAUUUUAAAUCGAAAUUGUGAACGAUUUCACAUAAAAACAACAACAACAACAAAAAAACGAAAUAAUAUUUAUUUUCUCAUUUCCCGCAGUCAUAAAUUACGUCUGAUUCGGUGUCUGAUUGCACAAAAGUUCGUGCUGUCUUUGUUAUCAUUAUUGCUUCUAUUUUUGAACUUCCCGAUAGGAAAUUAGAAAACCAACAACAA